rfam:Gossypium hirsutum cultivar TM-1 unplaced genomic scaffold scaffold876.1, whole genome shotgun sequence
AUUCCAUGAUGAGGGCAUUACCAUAAUAAUUCUUUGUACCUUUCCCAUGCCUCAUACAAGGACCCAUCAUCCAUUUGUUGGAAAGCAUUGAUCUCGUUCCUCAACUU